rnacentral:misc_RNA from 1 species
GUUUACGAGCACUGGACAAUCAGGAAACUGAAUAGUGUAUUCGAGCAAGAACUAGACACAAGUCUUAAAUCAACAUCUCCAUGUUACUUUUUUAUAAACUAAAUGAAUUAAUGCUGUUACAUCUCUAGCAUUGAAUUUGCAAACAUAAAGCUGCAGAACAAAAAAAAACGAUGAUUGGACUUCUAAACUAAGAUGGCCUGAUAAAGCACUCAUCUUUUUACACACGUAUAGGCUUUUCAACUCAAAUGACAAUUUACUCCAAGUAAAAUACAGAGACCCAUAAUGUGGGGGAAAAAAUGAAUGAAUUGGAAUAUAUAUUUCAGUCCUUUUAAAAUUGAAAUCAUACAUAUGCAUGAUGGAAGAACCAUCUCUCCGAACGUAGAUGAAUGAGUGUAUGUGGUGCUCAAGGGUCGUAUGCAGGUUCAAUGUAAACUCAAUUGAAGUGUUUCAGUCGUUAGCCAAAAUGAAAACCAGACGACUUGAAAGAAGAGCUCGAAAGAUUUGGCAGCUUAAGAGUUGCAAUGACACCAGCUGCAAGAGCACAUAUAGAAGCCAGGGCAAAGGCAGGUAUAUUUCCUCCACCAAACAGAGCAUCCCAUGGACCCGCACCAAGGGAUAUAAUCAUCUGUGGAAUAACUAUUGCAAGAUUUAGAACUCCUAUCGCCAAUCCUUGGCCACCACCUGAAUCGGCAGUCAACUCUGCUGUGACAGAAAAUGGAACGCUAUACGUAAUCUGCAACUCACAACUAUUAGUGCAUGCUUUCAAGGGAAGAACUAGUAAAAUAUUGCAGUUAUUUUGAUAAAACUUUUACAUACAGCAAGAGGAAAGCCAAGAAGAGCAAAUACAAUCAAGGCAGCUAUCUUGAUAAAUGCACUGCCUCCAAUUACAUGUUCAAUUCCAUCAGAAUAUUCACCAACGGAUAUCAAACUAAUGAUAGCAGUGACUGCCAUGGAGGCAAAUACAAUAAAAUUGCUCAUUGCCCAUACAAGUCUUGGCCCCAUCCUCUGACACAUUGGUUCAAUCAAGAAGGAACUAAUGCCAAGAACAACCUACGGCAAAAUGAAGCAGAAAAUAAAUAAUUAUAGGAAAGAAAUAUCUGAAGAACGAAAUAAUAUCCUCAAUUUAAUUUGAACAACCCCUUAAAUAGACCCUUAAAUAGAUGCUACACAUUUUAAUAUGCUUUAUUUUAUGUCCCCCACCUUUUCUUAUCCCUUUUCUUUUAACUUUCUAAAAUUCUCCAUUAUUUAGUUGCAUUUUCUUUUACUCUCUCUAUUCAAGUUAAAAUUUUCAAAUUUUAGAAUUACUAAUAACAGAUUUUUUUUUUCAUCCCAUUUUUUUGCAAUGAUUAUGUCCAUUUUCAAAUUUGCAACUGAGUCAGUAUCCCCUGUGGAGACUAACUCAAAGCAUCACUUACAGAAUAGAAUAGCCAAGGAUGAUAGUAUCUAAGAAAAAUCGAACAAUUGAUGCACAAUUUUAAGUUCUUACUGAAUUCAAUAGCAAACCAAAUGCACCUUCUCUGACGCCUUGAUCAUACAACUUCACUUCAUCAGAAUUUCCUUUUGGAUCUCCAUGAUAAACUUCUCUACCCAUCCAAUCCGUAUCAAAUAGAAAGAAAGGGAACCAGGACAACCAGGUAAGAGCCAUAACAGCAAGCACAGAAUGCAUUCCAGGAGGUAAAUGCCUUAAACUAGUCAACAAAUUAACCAAUACUGCUCCAGGUUCAUCAUCUAAACUUUCAUUUUGAUCCUCAAUGGAGUUGGCAAUGCCAUGCUUUGGACUCGCAUUCUGUUCAAUGCCCUUGUUAAUGUUGUUCUUGUUAGAAUUACUGAGAAUUGACAAGUCAGACUUAGAUUUUGAAAGUUCAAGGCCAUUUUGUUGAGGAUCAUCCAAUAAUGGUGCUGAAUCUGAUAAACGGUGGGACUGACUUGCGAUAAUUGGAACCUCCUUUGCAAAAUAUAGAGUUACAAGAGUGCACAGAGUGAGGAAUACCUGCACAUAUGGCAAACAAAUUAUCAGAUGCAAGUAAAAAGUAGAAAUAUUGGUGCCAGCAGGUAAUAAAACACAAACAAACUAUUAAAGAUAUUAUCUCACUUGAUAUCCAAGUGAGCAUGAAACAAAAUGAAAUGUAAUUAAAAGAUGAAUAAAAGAAGAUUCUGGAUCCACCUUCACUUUACAAACACAUUAAAUAAAUGCACAUACAACCAACUGAUGAUCAUUUAUGAUAAAGGCAAAUAGUACUUUAACAUGAAGCAUACCUUGGAACGUUAUAAUCCUAAUCAUGUGUCUCUUAAACAAAAAAAAUCCUCCAGCAUAUGCCCCUUGAAUUUUAGAUGGAUUGUCUGUUUUUUCAUGCGUAGUUUUUAAAUUUAAUCAAAUUUUCCAACUUCGUAUAUUCUCUCUAUAGGUGGCUCAUUCUUUCUAUCCUCUCGAUGAAUUUUGUCUUAAUUGUUCCUUAUUUCCUACUUCCAGCAGCAAGUGUCUCCAACUUCAUCAUUUUCCUUUUCAGCCAAAAUUUGUUAUAAAUCCAGUUUCAAGCAAUCUUUCAUAUGACCUUCUUAUCCUUGUCUAAAUUUAUUUUAUGAAGUUAUAUCCUUUCACCAUGGUUGUGUGAGUAACUCUGCAACCAAGAUGUAAAGGGACCAACUUUCAGCAUACUAACUCAAAACCUCAAAUCAAUAAUAUAAUAGAUAAUUCUUAGGUGGUCUUCAGGUAACCCAAGACCUUGGCAACUUAUACAUGAGGAAGUUGCAUUUAAAUUACAAAGUUUUAUUUAAAUUACAAAGUUUGAUAUUCCUUUUCUUCAACAAGAGCUAGUACCAAACUUUAUGCAUCCAACAAUGGGGAGUGAUAUCCCACUAGAACUGGUUUUAAUUCGUUCUUUCUUUUGCCCUAAAAGAUUUUGGAAAGAAGUCCCACAAGAGCUCUCUACAUUCGGCUCACUGAAAUCACUUACACAUUUCUUCAAAACAAAACUCAACCAACUUACAGGUCCCCAAAACCCAAGGUACGAUGUCUAAACCAAGGAAGCCGAUCUUAAGCCACAACAUUGCAAAUUAAAAUAAGAAAUAAUAGUCAAUGAGAGCAUUUAACCAAACUAAAAGUGCCAUGGAACUCGCCACUGCAACAAGAAAUGCAGCUUUCAGAUUUCCACAAGCUUCACAACAGGCUCUGCUCAUCAAGGAAGGAAACCACCUGUUCCAACUCCCGCUAGCACCAGCAGAAAAUCCUAAAAUAUUUCCAACAGCCAUCCAUGAGCAAAAUACAGCAUUUGCAGAAUUACGUUGAUCAGGACCUGAUAAAUCAGCCAGAAGGGCACGUGCUGGUCCCUGCACUGUAUUGUUGGCAAGAUCUAGCAACCAGAACCCAAUAACAAAAACAAAUGCUGCCCUUGUUCGAGUGCCUUUGAAUGUACUACAAUGCUCCUCUGUAUCCCCUAACAUAUAUCCAAUGUCUGCAGAAAAUCCGAUUAUUAUCACAGCAACUGAGAUCAUUAGAGAUCCAGCAAGAAUAAAUGGCCGUCUUCUUCCAAAUUUUGAAGAGCACUUAUCACUCCAAAUACCAACACAAGGUUGAAUCUAAAAGUUCAUUCUAAUUAAUAAGUAAUGCAAUUCCAACUUUAAGUCAAGAAAUAAUAAAAGAGGGAGAAGAAAAUAAUUCAAUCAAUUGGUGUUAAAGUCAUUUAAAACUAUAUUGAACGCUCACAUCCAUCACCAGCCAAAACUUCAUUAGAAAAAGAACAUGUUUUCUCAUGAGUAGGGUAUAAUGUCAUGUGAAAUGCAAGAAAACUUCAAUGAGAUUACAGCACAAAAAGUAUGACUAUCUUAAUUCUCUUAAAAUUCCAAGCAUGCUGAACUGCCUGCUUAUUGCAGCUGGAGGCCAAAAGUGCAUUUGCAGCGAAGUUGCACAAUCAUUACAGUAACCAGUUGAUUUCUCAUUGUAAAUGAAAGCACAAAUAACAUAGUUUAGUUCUGAAAAUGAAGGACCAAGCACCUAAUCAAAUUGGCAUUUUAUUCUACAAUAAUCAUUAAGGACCAUUACAAGUACAGUGUAAUAAUAAAUGUCUUGGGCUUGCAAGCAAGAGGUUGGAAGCUGAAGGUGAAAUUGAUUAUUUCACUCAACGAUAUGAAAGGGUUCCUUUCCAAGAACUUGCUUCUACCGUAACUGGUAAUAGCUUCUUUGUUUUAUGAUGGUGAUAAAAUAAAAAUGAAUGUUCAUGUGUAUCAGCUCCUGACCCAAUUUAUAACUUAUAUCAGUAAAGGCAUAUAACAGUAGCCCAGCAACAAAGUUCAUCCAAUUAAAGCAACCAACGAUCAUACUAUGUUUUCACACCAUAGAAAUUCCAAGAUGACAAAACUUAGUACAAAGAAAGAUAGGUACUCUGCUCAAUGCAUCACUGUAGAUCUCAAUUUCAUGAGGAAACUUAAAAUAUUAAAAUUCAGCAAAACUAGCAAAAAAGUAUAGAAACAAAUAACUAUUUGCCAUCACCUAC